ACGGGAGGCAGCAGUGGGAAUAUUGGACAAUGGGGGGAACCCUGAUCCAGCGACGCCGCGUGAGUGAAGAAGUAUUUCGGUAUGUAAAGCUCUUUAAGCAGGAAAGAAAAUGACGGUACCUGCAGAAUAAGCCCCGGCUAACUACGUGCCAGCAGCCGCGGUAAUACGUAGGGGGCAAGCGUUAUCCGGAUUUACUGGGUGUAAAGGGAGCGUAGACGGCGAUGCAAGUCUGAAGUGAAAGCCCGUGGCUCAACUGCGGGACUGCUUUGGAAACUGUAUAGCUAGAGUGUCGGAGGGGUGAGUGGAAUUCCCAGUGUAGCGGUGAAAUGCGUAGAUAUUGGGAGGAACACCGGAGGCGAAGGCGGCUCACUGGACGAUUACUGACGUUGAGGCUCGAAAGCGUGGGGAGCAAACAGGAUUAGAUACCCUGGUA
rnacentral:rRNA from 1 species